CCCUUAGAUGUUCUGGGCCGCACGCGCGCUACACUGAUGCAUUCAACGAGUUUCUUCCUGGUCCGAGAGGAAUGGGUAACCUUUUGAAAGUGCAUCGUGAUAGGGAUAGACUAUUGCAAUUAUUGGUCUUCAACGAGGAAUUCCUAGUAGACGUAUUUCAUCAGACUGCAUCGAUUACGUCCCUGCCCUUUGUACACACCGCCCGUCGCUCCUACCGAUUGAAUGCUCAGGUGAGCCAUUCGGACUUUCAUCAUGCUGGUUUCCAGUUUUGAUGAAGGAAAGUCUUGCGAACCUUAUCAUUUAGAGGAAGGAGAAGUCGUAACA
rnacentral:rRNA from 1 species